rnacentral:misc_RNA from 1 species
CCGAGUUUACAACUCCCAAACCCAAUGUGAACGUUACCAAACUGUUGCCACGUCGGCGGGAUCUCUGCCCCGGGUGCGUCGCAGCCCCGGACCAAGGCGCCCGCCGGAGGACCAACCAAAACUCUUAUUGUAUACCCCCUCGCGGGUUUUUUUUUAUAAUCUGAGCCUUCUCGGCGCCUCUCGUAGGCGUUUCGAAAAUGAAUCA